AUAUGGCAGAUUUAAUGUAUUAAAUUUAAGAUUUAACCAUGAACAUAAUUUCUUUUAGAA
rnacentral:tRNA from 1 species